rnacentral:rRNA from 1 species
AGUGAACGCUGGCGGCAGGCCUAACACAUGCAAGUCGAACGGCAACACAGUGAGAGUUUGCUCUUAGCGGUGGCGAGUGGCGGGCGGGUGAGGAGUACAUCGGAAUCCACUAUGUCGGGGGGGAACACGUGGGAACAGUUACGCUAACAGCGCAUACGAGCAACGGCAGAGAGCAGGAGAUCUUGGGACCUUGCCCGCGUGUAUGAGCCGAUGUCGGAUUAGCUAGUUGGUGGGGUAAGGGCUCACCAAGGCGACGCUCCGUAGCUGGUCUGAGAGGAUGACCGGCCACACUGGAACUGAGACACGGUCCAGACUCCUACGGGAGGCAGCAGUGGGGAAGAUUGCGCAAUGGGCGCAAGCCUGACGGAGCAAUGCCGCGUGUAUGAAGAAGGGCUUCGGGUUGUAAAGUUCUUUCAGCGGGGAGGAAGGGAGUAAAGAGAAUACCUUUGCGCAUUGACGUUACCUGCAGAGGAAGCACCGGCUAACUCCGUG